GUGAACAUACCAAUUGUUGCCUCGGCGGAUCAGCCCGCUCCCGGUAAAACGGGACGGCCCGCCAGAGGACCCCUAAACUCUGUUUCUAUAUGUAACUUCUGAGUAAAACCAUAAAUAAAUCAAAACUUUCAACAACGGAUCUCUUGGUUCUGGCAUCGAUGAAGAACGCAGCAAAAUGCGAUAAGUAAUGUGAAUUGCAGAAUUCAGUGAAUCAUCGAAUCUUUGAACGCACAUUGCGCCCGCCAGUAUUCUGGCGGGCAUGCCUGUUCGAGCGUCAUUUCAACCCUCAAGCCCCCGGGUUUGGUGUUGGGGAUCGGCGAGCCCUUGCGGCAAGCCGGCCCCGAAAUCUAGUGGCGGUCUCGCUGCAGCUUCCAUUGCGUAGUAGUAAAACCCUCGCAACUGGUACGCGGCGCGGCCAAGCCGUUAAACCCCCAACUUCUGAAUGUUGACCUCGGAUCAGGUAGGAAUACCCGCUGAACUUAAGCAUAUCAAUAAGACGGAGGAA
rnacentral:rRNA from 1 species